CAUCAUCCUUAUUAAUUUAUACCAUUAAGUAAGUAAUGACAAUUUUUAAUUAAUUCAGAGUCACAUAAUAAUUUUCUCAUUAAAAUAUCUGUAAUUAUUCUGUGUACCAAAGUGCUUACUUACAGUAGCAUGUGUCUCACAAAAGUACAUGAACAGCUGCACAUACUCUUUUUGCUUUCUGACUCAAACCUCUUCUAAACAAAUAACAAUAAUUUAAAACAAAACGAAGCAGUGAAAUCCUUCUCAGGUCCUGAUAUGUGCUCUUUAUUUUAUCCUGCAUUUCUUGAGAUUGCCUUCUGUGCACUGAAAUGAUGAAUGCAUGAGGUAGCCGAGAGUCACUGCCUCAAACCUUCCCAUUUGUUGAUGCACGCGGAAGGUGGAAUGCUGAUGGGUUUGCUAUUGAAAUGAGACAUUUUGCAUCAUUUUCUCCCCCUUUGUCAGGCUGAGCCACUGCCGAGCGACUGGAGAUUCUUUGGUUACAGUCUGCAAACCCAUAUUUCCUUAGCUACUUUGAGUAUUGCGAAGAGACAUCAAAAGCAACUCAUGAAAGGACGGAUUUAAUUCAGGGUCUUGUAGUUUCAGAGGCGGACCCCAUGACCAUCAUAGUGAGAAACAGGGCAGCAGGCAGGAAGGCGUGGCAUUGCGGUAGCUGAGAGCGUGCAUCUUGCUCCAUGACCAGGAAGCAGAAACGAAACACUGGGAGUGACCCCAGUAUUUUGCAAUCUCAGUGUUCACCCCCCAGUGAUGCGCCCCCUUCAAAAAGAUCACGCCUCAUAGUCCCUCCACACUGUCCCAUCAACUAGGGACCAAGUAUUUCAACUUUGCCUGUGAGGGGGGCGUGGUCAUUCUCAUUCAGAUGGUGAAAUCAGAAUGUGUUCUUAUCCUGCAUUUGCCAAGUCUUAAGCACUUGACAUUUUAAGUGAAGACACAAAAUCACGUAUCAGGGCUGGCAGAGACGGCUGAUUGCUUAAGAGUGACGAGUACUGCCCAGCCCAGCCCCAGUGUUGAGCAGCUCACUACAGGCAAUAAUGCCAGUCUCAGAGCUUCCUGACACUCUGGGCCUGCGCAGAUACCCACACACAUUCACACCAUUACAAGUAAAAUAAAUCUCAUAAAAAUUAAAAUAUUGCCUCUAUGCAGAGGUCAAUGGAACACGCAUACAAGCUUGAAAGGUAACGAAUAAGGUUAUCAGCAGAGGAAAUCAACAAUUUCCACCCGUUUUAUCAGUGGGUAUUUCAUGGUUUUGCUUUGACCUUUUCAUUAUUCUCGAGCUGUCAUUAACCUUCUGGGUUUUGUGUGAGUUGACAACAAAAGACAAAUUACUCUCACCCGUGUUUUUCAGUGAAGAAAGUGCCUCGGAAACACUAGCAGACUAUUUCUGAUAAUUUUUCAAACAGAAAAUCCAUCAGACAUUGAGUUCUUUUGUGCAAAGUGUAGAGAACGGUCCAGAAAUUGAAUGUAUUUCCUCCUGCUAAGGAACUAAGAGACAGUGUGUGUGUGUGUGUGUGUGUGUGUGUGUGUGUGUGUGUGUGUGUGUCGGGGGCAGGGGUGGGGGAGGGAUUUGCAAUGAGAUAUAAUGACUCACCAACUACAAACAUGCCUGAACUGUAAUGAUUCCGGUCACAAGGUGACAUGAAACAGGCCAGCAAGCUGAUGGGAACGCCCCUAGAACGAGGUAGCCAAGGCCAGUGGGGGAAAGGAGCAGGCUCCACAGGCAUUGAGCAAGGAGGGAACCAGCCAGAAGUGCUGCUGGAAGCCUGUGAAGCGCUGAAACUGCCUGUGAGACAGGAGCAGAACCACUCAGAAUGCAACUUGAGAGCUUCCACGUUCUUAUCGUUCAAAAGCAAACCCCCAUCUGCUAAAACGCAAAUGUCACAGCACACAUGUCAACCAUGCCCAGUGAGCGUAAAGAGGAGCCACCACCUAUAAACUCUGCCACGCUCUGGGUCUUCUGUCACAUGGGUUCAAGAUGCAGCAAGAGGCACAGUUCUUAACUUUUCCUCAUUCUGUUGUGCAAGGAAGAAGAAAAUCCUCAUUAGAUACACAAUUAAUCAGACUAUGCAUCCAGUCUAAUGGACACGCUGAUAGAAGCAGGGACAACACAAACUGUUCUGUGACGGGUUACACAAACAACUGGAAGGGGCCGGCAAAGGCUCACGGGCAUGACCACCUCACCAGAGCUGAGCUGAAAUGGAUAGAAAUAUUUCCCUGCUAAGUAAGCCUGGUGUGGUCAAAUUUGACUCUGGAAUUAGCAUGUUUAUUUUUUUAUUCUCGGUGAUAUUCUUUUUCAACACGAAUAAAAGCCACAAUGUCUUUCAGAA